rnacentral:tRNA from 1 species
GCGGAAGUGGUGGAAUUGGCAGACACGCAGGUUUUAGGUACCUGUGCCUUCGGGUGUGCGGGUUCAAGUCCCGCCUUCCGCACCG